GAUGAACGCUGGCGGCGUGCCUAAUACAUGCAAGUCGAGCGAACAGACGAGGAGCUUGCUUCUCUGACGUUAGCGGCGGACGGGUGAGUAACACGUGGAUAACCUACCUAUAAGACUGGGAUAACUUCGGGAAACCGGAGCUAAUACCGGAUAAUAUAUUGAACCGCAUGGUUCAAUAGUGAAAGACGGUUUUGCUGUCACUUAUAGAUGGAUCCGCGCUGCAUUAGCUAGUUGGUAAGGUAACGGCUUACAAAGGCAACGAUGCGUAGCCGACCUGAGAGGGUGAUCGGCCACACUGGAACUGAGACACGGUCCAGACUCCUACGGGAGGCAGCAGUAGGGAAUCUUCCGCAAUGGGCGAAAGCCUGACGGAGCAACGCCGCGUGAGUGAUGAAGGUCUUCGGAUCGUAAAACUCUGUUAUUAGGGAAGAACAAAUGUGUAAGUAACUAUGCACAUCUUGACGGUACCUAAUCAGAAAGCCACGGCUAACUACGUG
rnacentral:rRNA from 1 species